rnacentral:lncRNA from 1 species
AAAAAUAUUGGAUAAAAAUAAAAUAGUAAAUAAGUUUAAGCAUAAUAAGGACAAAAAAUAGAUAAAUAUAAAACACACAUAUUUUAAUAGUUCUAAAAUAACUAUUAUAAUACAAAUCACAACUACGUUGAAUCAAAAUCUAUCUCUACUAUCUACGGCUGAAAUCAAUUUGAGUUGAUCCAACGGCCUAGAUUCACCUCACAAUUAUUUUCUCAGCCCCAACAUAUCACUUUCACUCUCUAUCUCCUAUCACUUUCACUUUCUCUCUACAUCUACUCUCAACUCUCUCUCUUUCCAUCACUUUUACAUUCAACUAUAUACUUUUUUAAUUUACUUAUUAUUCUUUUUUUACAUUACUUUCGAAUUUUUAUAUAAAUUUUUUAAUAAAAUGUUAUAACUCCUUUAUUUUAUUUUUUUAAUACCCCUUAAUUUUUUGUUUUUUAUUUUACUUUCACUUUUGAUUUUUAUAUAAAAAAAAUUAUAAAAAAAAUAUAUAAUUUUUUUUCGAGGAGAUAUUGGUGCAAAGUUCAUGUUCUUAUGUAAUGUGAAUUUACGACGUAUUGAUACAUUAAAAGUUAUAUUUUUUCUUAUAUAUUUUUUAUGAUAAACAAGUACUAAAAAAUACAUUAUUAAUUUUCAAAGAAUAGUAUCAAAUAACAAAUAACAUUAUAACUCUCAGCCCAUCAAAUUUUUUUAAAAAAUUAAAAAAUUUUGAUCCAUAUUUUUUUUUUUAUAUAAAAACAUAAAGUGGAGUAAAAAAAAUUAUAAAAUUUUAUCAUACUUUUUUUUUAUAUAAAAAUUUAAAAGUGAAAGUAGUAAAAAGAAAAACACAAGAAUCAGGGGGUAUUAAAGAAAAAAACAUAAAGUGGUUAUAAAAUUUAUCAUAUUUUUUUUAAAUAUAAACAUUCAAAAAAUAAAAGUUAAAAAAAAGAAUAUAAAAGGGGUAUUUAAAAUAAAAUAAAAUGGUUUUGUGAUUUGAAUGGCAAAAUUUAGUUUGAGGAAGAAUUGAGGGUUAAUUUAUGGUAAUAAAAAUUGGAAAAGUCAAGAAAAAAAAUAAUUACCUCGAGGGGGUGGGGAUGUCAGGGGGUUAGGAAGAACAACUCUCUUUAUGUUAGUUUUAUAUUAGAUUAAUUAGUUUAGAUUAGUUAAUUUUGAGAAAAAUUACUGAGAGUUAUUUAUUGUGGAAUUUUUUUUUUUAUUGUUUUUUCUGACGAAAAAAAAACCAUCAAAAUUGAUGAAAAUAAAUUAUUAUUAUUUUUUUUGCGUAGUACCCAUGGGCACGGGCAAUUACUAGUAUAUAUAUAUAUAGCUUUUCAUAAUAUAUAUUUUUUGUUUUUUUAUCUCUAAUAUUUGUGAAUGCGUUGUAUCAAAUAGUAAAUAAGAAAUGAUCAACGGAGAUAACAAGCGUAGCAUUGUUCAAAAAAAUUAUUAAAACGUAGAAAAGAAAAAAAGAAAAUUAUCUAUAUUGAUAGAAUUCUCAAAUAAGUCUAAGGAAUUAAGGAAAAGAUCUUAAUAUACAAAGGAAAUACAAGAUAAAAAUUGGUUUGGUACCUACAUCUCCACACAUGCACAGUUACACACACAAUCUAGGCUGGAGUUCCUGGUCUCAUGGAGCUGGCCGAUAUAAUUUGGGCUGAAGUCAUGGGUUUGGGCCUUCCUUUCUAAAGUGAUCGAAGGCAUUUUGGGGCUUUGGUGAUAAGCCCAGCGGUCAAUCUGGCCUACAUCUAUCUAGGCAAGCUUUUGCUAUAGUUUAUUAUCCAUCCUAAGUGAUAGGACUCUGUUAUAGUUUUUUUUGUUUAUCGAUUUUUUUCAUCAAAAUUUUAAUAUUUCUCAAACCUUUUGAUGAGAGGAAUCUAAAAAAUAUAAGAAUUUUGAUUUAUUUUAAGAACAAAAAUUCACUAAAUAACAAAAAAAAAAUUGGGAGAAAUUACAAAAAUAAAUUCUACAUUUCUCAAUAUUUUAAUUUUUAAUUUUCUCUCACCUGAAAGUAAGCUAUUCAUCUGUGUUUAGUAUACUCUUUAAAAAUUUUAGAAUAUUUUAAUUUUUGGAUUUCUAUCGUUAAGAAUACUGAAAAGGUAUAAAUGUUUGAAUAAACUGUGAAAAAAAACAAAUUAAAUCAAAACAUUCGAGAAUUAAAACAGUUAAAUUAGCUCGAAAAAGCUAAUCCAAAUGAGGAUUGACUUUUGUUAGCUCAAGAGAAUAACAUCCUUAUUCUCCUCAUGAUCACCAAAGAUUUAAAAGUCUAAAUAAAACUUCAUGUAAGAGAAUCAAAACUGAAACAGCUAAGGCUUGAUAGUAAAACAAAAAUAUAAUGUGUGGCAAUUUUCAAUUUUGAAAAACCAAAAUACAGAUUGAUUCAUCUUUUGUUUCAAAGUUAUAUAUAUACGAGUCAAAUGGGUUUAAUCACUUCAUGAAAUUUUUUAUAGAAUUUUUUUUCUUUAUUUUGUUCGUCACCAAAUACAGAAGUUAUUUCAAAUUCCAAUACUUCUAGUAGUCAAAU